GGUUUUUUAAUUUGGGUUGGUCUUGUAGCUAGACUGGACUUUUAAUAUUUUUAUUUAUUUUUUCUAUUUGGUUUUUGUCUAGGCCUGGACGAAAUUGGGCUUUCACAGGUAGAAUUAUAUUUUUAUAUCUGUUUUGUCUUGAUAUGUUCUGCUUUUGAUAUAAAUAUCUUUCUGAAUGAUUUCUGUUAAUAACAUAAUAUGUUACAAACUGAGUUUUGAAACUCACUUUCUGUUUCUAUGUUAUUCAAGGUAACCCUCAAACUUAGGCGGAUUGAUG
rnacentral:lncRNA from 1 species